rnacentral:rRNA from 1 species
UACGUAGGGUGCGAGCGUUAAUCGGAAUUACUGGGCGUAAAGCGUGCGCAGGCGGUUCGUUGUGUCGGCGGUGAAAGCCCCGGGCUCAACCUGGGAAUGGCCGUUGAAACUGGCGAACUGGAGUGUGGCAGAGGGGGGUGGAAUUCCUGGUGUAGCGGUGAAAUGCGCAGAUAUCAGGAGGAACACCGGUGGCGAAGGCGGGUCUCUGGGCUGACACUGACGCUCAUGCACGAAAGCGUGGGGAGCAAACAGG